rnacentral:misc_RNA from 1 species
AGUCAUCGACCCCUCCCGUUUUGCCGCGGGAAGGGCGUCGGAUGUUGGGGUGCUUGCGGUCGCUUUGGUGCUCCGCUCCCCUCAAAUGCGUUGGUUGGGCCUUGUGGGUUUUGAACUCGGUCUCUGGGCGUUGUACCGUCCUCGCUCCGUGCCCGAGUGCGUCCUGCAUGACUGUGCCCCUCCGUGGCCUCCCUCCCGUGUGGUGGCCGGUGAAAGCCGCUUCAUUUGAA